GUGGGGAAUCUUAGACAAUGGGGGAAACCCUGAUCUAGCCAUGCCGCGUGAGCGAUGAAGGCCUUAGGGUUGUAAAGCUCUUUCAGCUGGGAAGAUAAUGACGGUACCAGCAGAAGAAGCCCCGGCUAACUCCGUGCCAGCAGCCGCGGUAAUACGGAGGGGGCUAGCGUUGUUCGGAAUUACUGGGCGUAAAGCGCGCGUAGGCGGACCAGAAAGUUGGAGGUGAAAUCCCAGGGCUCAACCUUGGAACUGCCUUCAAAACUCCUGGUCUGGAGUUCGAGAGAGGUGAGUGGAAUUCCGAGUGUAGAGGUGAAAUUCGUAGAUAUUCGGAGGAACACCAGUGGCGAAGGCGGCUCUCUGGUCUGCAACUGACGCUGAGGCUCGAAAGCAUGGGUAGCGAACAGGAUUAGAUACCCGGGUAGUCC
rnacentral:rRNA from 1 species